GGCCUGGUCGGGCGGUCUGCCUCACGGUAUGUACUGUCUGACUGGGUCUUACCUCUUGGUGAGCCUGCAUGCCCUUCACUGGGUGUGUAGGGGAACCAGGACUUUUACCUUGAGAAAAUUAGAGUGUUCAAAGCAGGCCUAUGCCCGAAUACAUUAGCAUGGAAUAAUAGAAUAGGACUU
rnacentral:rRNA from 1 species